UUUUGAAUGUUAAUUUUUAUGUGCUUGAGUAGUAUUAGUUAUGUUCUUGAAACUUAAAGAAUUUGGCGGUAUCUCAUUCCGUCCAGAGGAAUCUGUCUCGUUAUCGAUAGUCCACGUUGGACCUUACUUAGUUGAAUUUGGUUUGUAUACCGCCGUUUAUUGAUUAUCUUUUUAGAGCUUAUUUAAUUUUCUGGUAUCUUUAUUUUGAUUUAUUUCAGGUCAAGGUGCAGCUUGUUUCUAAGUGGAAUGAUGGAUUACAUUAUUAUUUGUUAUGUGGAUUAUUUGAUUAAAAUAUUGAUAUGAAAUUGGAUUUGGUUGUAAUUAUUUGUAGACUGUUAUUGUGAUAAAUGGUUCUGGGAUAUGU
rnacentral:rRNA from 1 species